UUGAUUACGUCCCUGCCCUUUGUACACACCGCCCGUCGCUGCCCGGGACUGAGUUGUUUCGAGAAAUGCGGAGACUGCUACUUUGAAAGUCUUCGGAUGCUCAUUUGUUGGCGGAAACCGCCUUAAUCGAAAUGGCUUGAACCGGGCAAAAGUCGUAACAAGGUUUCCGUAGGUGAACCUGCGGAAGGAUCAUUAUUGAGCUAUAUAAUUAUCUUUCUCAUAAUUAACUCGUUUAAUUAUGAUAGACUUAAACGAUUGUCUGACAUUUUGUCAACUACUUCUUUGCAACGUUUUUGUCAAACAACGGCUUUUAUUGGUUUUUAUAGGCGCCUGGAGCAGUUGUAUGAUCGUGACUGUAAAUGAUGGGUGCUCUUUUGCUUUUGAAGCAAAAAAUUAAAGAGGCUGGACUGUGGCCCGCCAUUAUUAAAUACAACUAUUCAUUUAACAUUUUGAAUGUUUGAAUAUUAUUACACUAUGUGUAUGUAUUAUUGAUUAAAUUUAUCAAGUCUUGUCGGUGGAUCACUUGGUUCGUAGAUCGAUGAAAAACGGGGCAAAAACCGUUAUUUGGCGUGAAUUGCAGACAUUUUGAUCGCUAAAAUUUUGAAUGCAAAUGGCACCAACAGGUUCAUAUCUGUUGGUAUGUUUGGUUGAGGGUCGAUUAACUCGUUACUUGCAAUCAGCUUGAUUGUUUUUUCGAUAAGUUGCUCUUUGUGGGUACCUUUUCGGUGUGCUAUGUUCUGAGUUUUUACUCAGAACGACGGUUCAAUUGAUUAUGCUUGCAUAGUCUACCGUUAAUUUAACUCUGAGCGUAGUGUGGCUAUUUGCGCUAUUCAACAAAUAGUAUUGGCAUGCUUUUGCCAGCUAACUCGUUCAAGUUUAAGCUUUCAGCUUAGAUUUGUUUAUUGCUUCUAAUAUGAGUUGGUUGUAAUACUGUUUAUUCGCUUCUAGUGAAUGCGUGAAUUGACAUGCAUUAUUAUGCUCUGUGAGUUUGGUAAAAUUGCUUCGAUUUUACGACCUCAACUCAAGCAAGGCUACCCGCUGAACUUAAGCAUAUCAGUAAGCGGAGGAAAAGAAACUAACUAGGAUUUCCUUAGUAACGGCGAGUGAAA
rnacentral:misc_RNA from 1 species